AGAACGAACGCUGGCGGCAUGCCUAACACAUGCAAGUCGAACGCUUUUGGGGCUUCGGUCCCAAAGGAGUGGCGCACGGGUGAGUAGCGCGUGGGAACCUGCCCUGUUGUGGGGGAUAACCGAGGGAAACUUCGGCUAAUACCGCAUACGCCCGGGGGAAACUCCGGGGAAAGAUUUAUCGCAGCAGGAGGGGCCCGCGUCGGAUUAGGUAGUUGGUGGGGUAACGGCCCACCAAGCCUGUGAUCCGUAGCUGGUCUGAGAGGAUGAUCAGCCACACUGGGACUGAGACACGGCCCAGACUCCUACGGGAGGCAGCAGUGGGGAAUAUUGGACAAUGGGCGCAAGCCUGAUCCAGCAAUGCCGCGUGAGUGAUGAAGGCCUUCGGGUUGUAAAGCUCUUUUGGCGGGGACGAUGAUGACGGUACCCGCAGAAUAAGCCCCGGCUAACUUCGUGCCAGCAGCCGC
rnacentral:rRNA from 1 species